UUUUGAAAUUGUAGUUAGAAGCUACAUACUGUGCCGGACGCGGAGGCUCACGCCUGUAAUCCCAGCACUUUGGGAGGCUGCGGCGGGCGGAUCACGAGGUCAGGAGUUCGGGACCAGCCUGGUCAGCGUGGUGAAACCUCGUCUCUACUAAAAAUACAAAAAUUAGCCUGGCGUGGUGGGGGGCGCCUGUAAUCCCAGCUACUUGGCAGCCUGAGGCAGGGGAAUAGCUUGAAAAGGGAAGGCGGAGGUUGCAGGGAGCCGAGAUCGUGCCACUGUACUCCAGCCUGAGAGAAAGAGCGAAACUCCGUCUGGGCGGGGGGAGAAACUACAUACUGCUCUACUGUGUGCUAGGGAAAAGAAAAAAAGUCACCCUACUGGUGAUAUCCUGCCAAUUCUGGAUUCUCCGCUGAAAUUCUAAUGCUAACUAUGCUUUGAACUCCAGAUCUGAAAGGCAGUGUUGAAGGUAGUAAUAUUCCAUGAAGGAGUGGGGAAUUCUUUUGAAGUCAUCGUUGAUUAUGUUGUAAAAGGAAAACUGGAAAAGUACCAGAGUCAAAUCUGUCAGUAUUUCCUUUUAUGGUGCUUGAUCUUGUGUCUUGCGUAAGUAGACGUUCUUGGCUCAUAAUGAAAACAUACUUUCAUGAUUUUGAAAAUAAUCCUAUACUCCCUUUCUCAUUCAUAAUUUUGAAUAUUUUUUCUUCUAAAAAGACCAACUUUUGGUUUUACUAUUUUUUAUUUCAUUCUCUAUUUUACAUUUAAAAAAAUUUACCUGAUAUAUUCUAUUGUCUUUUUUUAGCUUUUUGAAUUGACUACUUCAUUCACUUUUUCUCUGUCUUUUUUGGUUUCUAAUGAAUGUCGUUAUGACUAUAAAAUUCCCUUUGAGAAUCAUUUUAUCGUUCAUUAUAUCAGAUUAUCAUAGAGGUAAUGUUAAUUUUUCCUAAAUUUUGUAUAAUUUCAGCUUUUAUUUCACAAGUGAAUAUGAUUGGAUAUGCUUUUGUUGUUCAUUUCUAUUUUUUGUUUUAUUUUGUCUUAUACUGUGGCCUGUUUAUUUCUACUUUUGGGGGUUUAUUGAUUGUAUGUGGGGUAUCUGUGUGUGGUCUUACCUAAGAGAUACGAUUUCUGGGCUGGCAUGGUGGCUCAUGCCUGUAAUCCUAGCACUUUGGGAGGCUGAGGCAGGUGGAUCACUUGAGGUCAGGAGUUCGAAACCAGCUUGGCCAACAUGGUGAAACCCCGUCUCUACUAAAAAUACAAAAAAAUUGGCCGGGCACGGUGGCUCACGCUUGUAAGCCCAGCACUUUGGGAGGCCGAGGCGGGCGGAUCACGAGGUCAGGAGAUCGAGACCAUGGUGAAACCCCGUCUCUACUAAAAAUACAAAAAAUUAGCCGGGUGUGGUGGCGGGCGCCUGUAGUCCCAGCUACUCGGGAGGCUGAGGCAGGAGAAUGGCGUGAACCCGGGAGGCGGAGCUUGCAGUGAGCGGAGAUCGCGCCACUGCACUCCAGCCUGGGUGACAGAGCGAGACUCCGUCUCCAAAAAAAAAAAAAAAAGCCAGGCAUGGUGGCACAUGCCUCUAGUCCCAGCUACUCGGGAGGCUGAGGCAGGAGACUUGCUUGAACCCGUGAGGUGGAGGUUGCAGUGAGCCAAGAUCGCACCACUGCACUCCAGCCUGGGCAACAGAGUGAGACUCCAUAUAAAAAAAUAUAUAUAUAUAUAUAUCAUUUUGUUCAUGUUACGUGGGGAUUUGGAAAGAAUGCACUGUAAUAGCAUUAAACCAAGCUUAUUAAUUGUAAUAUGUUGUAUAUUAUCAUUAUAUGUAAGUAUGUAAAAUAUAAUAGCAUUCAGUCAAGCUUAUUAUCAUUCAGCCAUCUUUGUAUUGUAAUGGUUUUUCAUUGCAAGCAACAGACUCUGACUCUAGUUAUCACGAACAAGAAAAAAAGGUCUUCCGUCUGUUGGGAAGAUGUGGAGAAACUUACCGAAUUGAAGAGAAAGCUGAAGAACCAGGUCUGGAAAGGGACAGCAUUCAGGACAGAUCUGGCAAGAACAAAACGAGUGGCUCUUCAGGAUUCCCUGCUGGGAAGCAUGGCAGUGGCCCCUCCAGUCUGACGCCUGCUAUUGUGCUUUGCGUUUUUAUCAUGCUGUCUUGUGAGACUGACUCCCUGUGUGUCUGGUGGUCGAUACAAGUUAUGAUUCCAGGCCGGGUGCGGUGGCUUACGCCAGUAAUCCCAGCACUUUGGGAGGCUGGGGAGGGCGGAUCGCCUGAGGUCAGGAGUUUAAGACCAGCCUGGCCAACAUGGCAAAACCCUGUCUCUACUAAAAAUACAAAAAUCAGCCGAGCGUGGUGGCGCAUUUGUAAUUGCAGCUGCUCGGGAGGCCGAGACAGGAGAAUCGCUUGAACCUGGGAGGUGGAGGUUGCAGUGAGCGGAGAUCACGCCACUGCACUCCAGCCUGGGCGACAGAGCGAGAUUCCGUCUCAGGAAAAAAAAAAAAAAAAAAAAGUUAUGAUUCCAGAAGCCUGGAGUGAGGUGGUCAUUUAGCUUAGUGGCAGAGCAGAACCAGAAAAACUCUUCUCUUAUUUAUUAUUUAAGGCAGAGUUUUACUCUUGUUGCCCAGGCUGGAGUGCAGUGGCGCGAUCUUGGCUUGUGAUCUUGGCUCACUGCAACCUCUGCCUCCCAGGUUCAAGGGAUUCUCCUGCCUCAGCCUCCCAAGUAGCUGGGAUUACAGGCGCGUGCCACCACGCCUGGCUAAUUUUUGUAUUUUUAGUCGAGAUGGGGUUUCACCACGUUAGUCAAGCUGGGGUCGAACUCCUGACCUCAGGUGAUCCACCCGCCCCGGCCUCCCAAAGUGCUGGGAUUACAGGCGUGAGCCACCACGCCCAGUAAAAUCUCCUCUCUUAAAGGGGUGCCUUCCCUCGGGUGGCUGUAAGUCCCCUGGGACCCCGCCGGGAGUUUCCGCUUUCAUUCCCUCCUGUGGGAGGAAGUGCAGUGUCAGGAAUCGCGUCGUAGAGGUGUGGUUAUCUGCAGGCUACGGGAUGGGCUGAAGGGAAGUAGGGACAUCACUUUAGGGGUUUGGGAUGGGCGCUCUGCUGGCAAAACUUACUUUCUGAGGUUCUGUCUCUGGCUUGUGUGGGGUUGUUUUUAAUAUGUUGGGAUUAGAAAUCAAUGUGAUUCCAAGUGUCUUGUACUCAGAAAAUUUUAACUGUCUUGGUUUGUGCUGCAUUCUCCUGGCUUCCCAGCAGUUAUCAGCUUAUUUAUAUAUACACGUUUACAUGCAUAAUAAAUAUAUACGUAUGUAAGUUUAUCUAUAAUAAAUAACAAAUGUAUACAUUUAUAUA